rnacentral:miRNA from 1 species
AUCCGUGUUGUCUGCGCUUUA